AUUUAUUGUUAUGUUCAAAAAUUUUUCUCAUGGUUUCUUGAAAUUUGAAGAGUGAAAUUUUAAGGGACCUCUAUAGGAUUGAGGAGUGAGCUCAUGUAAACCUCGUGAAUUUUGACAUGGCAAAGACCUGCAUCUGAGCUGGGGCAACCUCCAGUAUCAAUACAGACUGGGUACUGAAUGGAUUGAGAGCAGCCCUGCAGAGGACAUGGCAACAUUGGUGGUUGAAAAUAUGGCCAUGAACCGACAAGGUGUAAUGCAGCCCAGAAAGCCAACCAUAUCCUGGGCUGCAUCAAAGGAAAUGUGGCCAGCAGAUUGAGGGAGGGGAUUCUUCCUUUCUACUCCACUAGGAAGUCCUCAGUAAAAGAAAGACAUGGACCUGUGAGAGUGGGUCCAAAGGAAAGCCACAAAAAUGGUCAGAAGAUUGGAACACAUCUCCUACGAGGAAAGUAUAACAGUUGGGGUUGCUCAGCCUCCAGAAGAGAAGGUUCUGGGGAGACCAUACUGCAAUAUUUCAAUAUAUAACAGAGGAUUAUAAGAAAGAAUGACACUUUUUACCAAGGAAUUUAGUGACAGGACAAGGGGUAAUGGCUUUAAAUUGAGGUAGGAUAUAUUUAUAUAUAUUUAUAUUGGACAGAAAGAAGAAAUUUUUUAUGACAUGGUAAGGUAUGAGAACAGAUUGCCCAGAGAAGCUGUUCAAGUAUUCAAGGUCAGGUUGGAUGGGGCUUUAAGCAACCCACUCUAGCGCAAGAUGUCCCUGUCCAUGAAAGAGGGGUGGGACUAGAUAUCUUUGAAAGUCCCUUACAACUCAAAUCAUUCUAUGAUUCUAUCAUAUUGCAAUUAUUGAAGUUAUUGUAUACAACUUAUUAUUUUCAUUAAGAAUUGCUCAGAGCUUUCAGAAAAUUUGCUAUCUAAGAAGAAAUAGCACAAAUAGCUGUAAAAAAUUCUUCAAAAUCAAUAAUUUAAACUAUUUUUUGAAACAAAGAUAAUCUACUUAUUUACUGUUCUCAAACAUAUUUAAAGUUAUGAAUAAGAUAACUAUUAUUUUUCUCUUCCUACUCAGGUUCCAUCCUCUGUUCUCACAGAGCAUAUGACCUGCUUUUGAUGGUCUUUCUCAAUGUGUCCCAUAUCCUCCACACAGAGAUCAGCAGCACAUUGCUCUAGAAAGCUACAGCCAGGAGCAUAAAAUAGGAUCAAGGAGAAUGACCUGUUGCACCUGAAGAGGAAGGAUGGUCACAUAUUUUCAAAUGAUUUCUGAAAGCACUAUUGGAUCUAGAUACUUUGUUACCAGUGAGCUAACAGAUUGAGUAUCAAUGAAGGGUGAUGGAGUUGCCCUUCAUGUGCGCUGAAAGCAAAACAAAAGGAACACCUGACACGAAUCCCUAUAGGAGGAAGCAGCCUGCAAACGAAUUACAGCUGAUAGUUGUUUGCUUCUUCACAACAACUUGCUGACCCAGAGACAUCGUUCUCCUCAAUGACCUGCAGUCUGCAGGUUUGCAGCCUUGUCAAGGAAGCAAGAAGUACUCAAUAUUUCUUUGUUUCUCUGCAUAGGCAUGUCAGAAUCAUCAUAAUUAGCUCCUGAAAGGACCUCAAGAAAUUAUGUAGUCUGUCCUAUCGCGCUGGAGUAAAAUUGUUUGUGUUUUCUACUCUUAAUAACCUUUGGUUAUGGAGAUCCCAUAACCACCAUGAGCAAUCUGUGCAACGUUUAUUUAAACUUUAGGUUUUCAACUUCACCCUAAUUUUUUAUAUAAUUCUUAGAAAAAAUAUUAAAAAAUAAUGUAUGCUACUGCACACAUUACAGCAGUUGAAAAACCUCUUAAUGUUUCUGUGUGUGAGACACUGAUUAUGCCUAACAAAAGUGUAGAGACAGAGCCUGGGGCUGAUCCUAAACACUUACAAGAUCUAUUUGAUGUGAUUUGUCCCACAGAAAUCAAGAUGACAGCUGAUUAUAAAUAUUUUAUGUUGUCAUCUACCAACAUUUUUUAGCUGUAAAAGCUUUCAAUAUUGAGCAGUAUGCUAAUUCUGAGGUACUUUUAUGAAUGCGACACUGAUCCUAGCUGGAUCACGUGCAAGAAGUGAAACUAGAGCCUUUGAAUUUAACAGAAAAGGCUGUUACUAUCUUUACUAAGUCACAUUCUUAUCUUUAUCCAAUUGAAAGAAUUGUAUUAGGAAAUCUCUCUCUGUGUCUUCUCUUCCUUAUCACUGGACAAAGCCCAAAAUGAUGUUGUCAUGACUGCUUCAACCUAAUGCUAGAUAUUUAAAAAAAAACCCCAAAGCAAUAAAACUCUGUGAUCCAGAAACAAGUUGAUAUCAUAUAGUGUUGUAUACCAAAUAAUGAUCCACUGUGAAAUGUCAAUCAUGGAAUCUCACACUGAGAAAAAGGUUCACUUCAGUUAAUUCCCUGAGACCACAGGCUGAGACUGAACACCUUUGCAGGUACAACAGGUCAUCUGGAGAAUGCUGACUCAUUACUCUGCUCUAAUCUUUGUGUUUAUUUUUUGAAGAACUGUUAUUGAGUUUCAUUAGGCUCAAUGAAGAUUUUGACGUUUAAAAUUUAAAGAGUGGAAUUCAAGUACUGAUUGAAGGGACCUCCUUUUGAGUGUGUUGGUCAUUCUGUGACCAUUUAAAAAUAAUUUUUAAUAUCAGAAGAGGUGCCCUGGAAUUCCACACUUUCUAAAGACACUGACCAUUUAUAAAAUCUGCCUCUGUCUCUAACAUUAAAGAUACUAAUGGUUACUGAGCAGGCAAACCAUGAUGUCCCACUGUUAAGGUAGGGAGAGGAAGUUAUAUUGAAUUAUAUAUACUAAAAACAUGACCUAAAUUCUUCUCUUUCCUUUUUUGCUGAUGACAGCUGAUAAAAGUAUUUUUUUUGAGUUUUUACCCCACUUUUUUUACUUGUUCAUGUCUUUUGCUAUGUUGAGUCCUGGAGAAGAGAACUACAGUAACAUGCUCUUUUGUCUUACCUUAUUCCAAUUGCAACUUUAGUCAUGUAAGUCUGUAUAACUGACCUUUAUAUUACAUUGCAUUGCAAAUUGCAGCCUAAGUCAUUGUUAUGCUUCCCAAUUAUAUGCUGGAAAUAAGUUGUCAUACUUGAAGAAAAAUAAUUCCAGGAAAACAGAGCUCUAUCAGAACUCACAGAGUACUAGCCAUAUUGUCAUUUGUUCCGUCAAAAUUUUAACAGGUGCAUCUCAAAGGCAAGUGUAUCAGCCCAAACGUACCAAGAAAUUUAUAUGGUCAUACACAUCACGUGAUUGCACUCAAGAUAAUCUGUUCCAUAACCUUUCCUGGCACUGAGGUCAGGCUGAGGGGCCCAUAGUUCCCCAGAUCCUCCUUCUGACCCUUCUUGUAGAUGGACAUCAUAUUUGCUAACAUUCAGUCCAGGACCGCUGGUAAAUAUCUGGAAGUGGCUUGGAGAGCACUUCCACUAGCUCCUUCAAUACCCUUGGGUUGUUCCCAUCUCACCCCAUAGACUUAUGCAUGUCUAAGUGGUGUAGGAAGUCACUGACCAUUUGUGCUUGGAUUAUGGGGUAUUCAUUCUGUUCCCCAUCCCUAUUUUCCAGCUCAGGGGGAUGCAUACCUGAAGAACAACUGGUCUCACUAUCACAGACUGAGGCAAAGAAGACAUUAGAUACUUCUGGCUUUUCCUCACCCUUUGUCACUAUGUUUCCUCCUCCGCAACCAAUAAAGGAUGGAGAUUCUCCUUACCCUCCUUUUGUUGCUGAUGUUGCUAAUAGAAACAUUUUCAUUAUCUUUCACAGCAGAGCCAGAUGAAGGUCUAGCUAGUCUUCCUUCUAAUUUUCUCCCUGGAUAAUGUCACGACAUCCUUGUAGUCCUCCUGAGCUGCCUGGCUCUUCUUCCAAGUAAACACUUUUUUCCCCUGAAUGCCAGACAAGGCUCUCUGGUCAGGCAGGUCAGUCUAUCCCACCAACUCAUCUUUUCGGGAUAUAGCGAUGGCUGCUCCUGCACCUUUAAGAUUUUCUUCUUGAAGAAUGUCCAGCCUUCUUGGACCUUCAGGACUGCCUCCCAGAUACUCUGUUGACCAGACUCCUAAACAAGCCAAAGUCUGCCCUCCAGAAGUCCAAGAUGGCAGUUCUGCUCACUCCUGGCCUCACUUUGACAACUGAAAAUUCUAUAAUUUCAGUAAUGGUAUGCCCAAGACAUCCUCUAACCAUCCAAGAUCACUUAGGACUAACUGACAUGUGCUUGAUUUUAUAGACAGCGCUCGGUGUGCUGUUAUGCUUCUUUGUUCUUUGCUGUGGUCAUCAACAACACCUGUUUGGCCAAGUGCCUAGGACCUGCAAGGCUGGUAAGGAAGGGUGUAAUUGGACUGGCACUCAGGAAUCUUGAGACCCAUAUGGAGUAGAAGAAGAAAUAUUUUUUAUUUUUCUAGUUGGCUCACAGGAAAUGAAUGCAUCACCCACUCAACCAUAGAGAAUGGCUGUUUACUUUAUAAAAUAAUAUAAGUUAUACUAACCACAUUACCAGGGGGUGGGGAGCAGGGCAAUACCGGUCACAUAUGGUAUCUCCUCGGGCCCUAGGAUUGAUGAAACCUAUUUUCUUCAGUAAGAAGGCACAAAUUAUAGCAAACUCUUUGCCAGGAGGAAUCUUAUGCUUAAGGUAAUGAUUUCUUCUUCUUCAUUUGGAUCAUGUUGAGAUCAAUUUUAUACUUUUUUUGAUAGUAAAAUCUGCUUAUUUUUUAUUUUCUUUAUUAUCUUGCAAUUUGUUAUUAUAUCUGAAUUUACUAUGUAUGUUCUGCUUUAAAGAUGUUGGAUAUUUGUUCUUUGUUGUGUUUCUUACCUCUGUAGCAGGUUUUAUUUGGUUGUCAAAAAUCAGACUAUCAAAAGAUAACAUUAUCUUGUCUUGGACCAUUACAUAUUGUGGACUGAUAGUCGCUGCUCACUUCUUAAUAAGAAAUGAUUAGUCAUAGCCAUACAUAAUAUAAAUAAAGAUUUUACCAGUAAAUUUGGCAGUGGUUAAUAGUAGCUGGAUGACUUCCCUAUUUACAGUACACUGAGACACACAGAUUAUUAUUACUGCUUGUAAAUAAUUGAUCGUAAGCUAAUUGAUGUCAUAUGGUAAAGUGAUUUUUUUUUCCCCUGAAAGAAUAAACAUAUGAUCAUCUUCAUUGGAAUCUGAAAUUCAUUUGGAAACUAACUACCGAGAAUUUUGUUGUAAUGGGCUGGAUUAGCUGCUAGUUCUUAAAAAAAAAGAAUUUUACCGUGACAAGACUUUAAAGGUUGUUGGGACGAGGUGGUAGAAAGAAAAUAAAUAAUAGUAGUGGGCAUUAUUUCUGUCUUAUUCACUUAUCUCUAAAAUGAACCAAAUAUGAGAUUAUGCUUUUUUGACUUAUUUUAAUGAGUUGAUAGCAUGAUUGACAGUCUAUAUACUUUUUUUACUAUCUUUACUGAAUGAGGAAAUCUGACAAAAUUUGUCAUAUAAAUCAUAUUUAAGUCAUAAAACAUAACAUUUGCUCCUUCAAGAUUUGUGUUGAAAAGCCUGAAAGGAUUAUGUCUGAAGGAGGUCUUCAGACUUCUGCAAUCGCAGCAGUUAUUUAACAGUGUUGUGUACUUUAUCCUGCCUCUGACUCCUGCUAAGAAGAUGUGCAUUUGACUUCUUCCUAUUAGACUCAUGAACAGUAUAGGAAAAAUGUCAAAUUUACGACUAUAAGAUUCAUUUAGUUGGGUACACAAUCAUUCAUCUUAAUUAUGUCUGACACCUUCACCAUUAUAAAAUCAGUUUCCCAGAAGAAGAGAAACUCACACUCUGUCUCCUUUAGGAAUCCUUCAUCGAAGGAGACUAGUUAUUUCAGUCCUCUGAGGAAGCUAAUAGUGUAGUCGAAGGAUCAUGAAAAAAAAGAAUAAUGGCUCGUAUUCAUCAAGAACAGGGAAAUACUACACUGCCAUGCCUGGUAACCAUAACUCCUAACACUGCUUUUUUGGAGGGUAGUAGAUUAUAGUACAUAAGAUUUUGAAGCAGGAAAUGUAUUAACUUCUAACAAAAGGUAAUUAUUUUAUAUUUUUUUUGCCUUCAUUGAAAUAAAUGAUAGUUUGUCACUGAACUCUGUAAGAAACUGUAUUAGGUCAUUUUUUUUAUUUUCCAUGAGGCAUAUUUUAUUUAUAUUAUGCAAAGGUAAAGAGAUAAUGAAACCACUAAAAAAGCCACUCUAAGCAUCUUGAUCAUCUGCAUAUGCUAGUUGUAAACAAAUUAAGAUACUUUAACAUAUGUAUGUAAAAUAAAAUACAUUUUUUCUUUGAUAAAAAAAUAAUGAUAUAAAAAUAAAACCAUUAUUAUUUGAAGGAUCAGUAAUGUAGAAUUUUCACAUUGUAUUACUUAGAGAAUGAAUAUUUCACUAUUCACAAAAGGAUAAGCAAAACUGUUAAGUCAGGUGCCAUAAUAGAUAAGGCAUUAAACAUGAUCUCUGUUUUUCAAAUGGUCUUUUCCUCUCAAAGACAAUAAUACAGAAAGAUGUAAGAAUUUAAUUUUAAAAUUCCACAAUUUGUGGAGGAUAGAAGUUCAAAUGAAAAAUUGAAUCUUAAUAAAUACUCUUAUAUAGCUACAUACAUAGUAUUUAUAACCAUUAGACUACAAAAUCUCUGUAAAUGUAGCACAUCCCUCAAAACUGCUUCAACAAAAAACAGCAUUCAGAAGAGUACUAGGGUUAGGCUAUAAAAAGGUUACCUUUAUUUACUGUCCUCAAUUCAGAGGAGACCAUUGCUGAAUCUAUACCUUGCAGAGACCAUCCUAAACUAAAAGAAAAAUGUAUCCUGCUUUUAUCUUUCUCUGUUUAAUAUUUCUGCAGAAUGAAAGCUUGACUAAUUUAUUCAGGAAGAUAAGUGUAAAUGAGAAGCAAAUACUUUUGAUUAUUGAGAGACGGAGUGGUUCCAAAACGACAGGAAGUUGAAGCUGAAUAUGCCUCAGUACCCCGUAGGAAAUAUACUACACAGAUACAAAGGCAGCUCCUCUGAGAACAGGUUCGAUGAGACAUGCAAUGACACACAGG